UACUGCAGAUUUUUAUACAGUGAUAUUUUUAACAGUACCACAAGAUACGAUUAUAAUACGCGUGGAACUUUUGACGAUGAUUUGACAUGACUGAUUAGCGAAUCUUGCUCUGUAGUCAUAUCAACAUGCAGCGAAUAACUCGUGAAGACAGAGACUUGUCUACGGAUUUCUUCCUAGUUUUGUCGGAAGCGGAAGUAAAACCUUCGGAAGUAAGACACAAUACUUCUUAGUUUAUUCGGAACCGCAAGUAAGACACAAUAGAUGCCUCAAUGUUGGUGAAAAUUAUGUAAAAAUGUAAAUUAAACUGACUUUCAAUAUAAAAUAAAAUUGCUAAGAAAG
rnacentral:lncRNA from 1 species